rnacentral:rRNA from 1 species
UACAGGGGGGGCAAGCGUUGUUCGGAAUUACUGGGCGUAAAGGGUUUGUAGGUGGCUUGUUAAGUCAGACGUGAAAUCCCUCAGCUUAACUGGGGAACUGCGUCUGAUACUGAUGAGCUUGAGUGCAGGAGAGGAACGCGGAAUUCCAGGUGUAGCGGUGAAAUGCGCAGAUAUCAGGAGGAACACCAAUGGCGAAGGCAGCUCGCUGGGACGUGACUGACGCUGAGACGCGAAAGCGUGGGGAGCAAACAGG